rnacentral:misc_RNA from 1 species
ACUGGGGCAGCAGUAUCGUCCAGACAUUGAGAUUUUACAUGUCUGGAGUAAAUUCAUCUGGAUCAUCUGUUUCAAUAUACAUAAUAUAUAUACAUACACCUCUGUACUGUUAAUUUUUUUUUUUAUUUAUCCCCCCUUCCCUUUAUUUAUUAUUUAUUUAUAUAUUUUUUUAGUAUUAUCAUUUUUUAAUUUCUUGUUUGAUCCUUGAGUGAUUCACAGUGAUUCAUAAAGUUCAGUCGUUGAAUAACAUGCGUUAAAGUAACAACAAUUUGACAUUUAAUUUAAUUUUUAUUUAUAUUUUUUUAUUGUGUUUUUAUUUAUUAUAUUAUUCAUGACAAGUGUCUUGAUUAUUAUUCAUAUUAAUUUGUUGUAAAAUGUUACUAAAAAAUGUUGCACGAGGGAGAUGAAGCUCUCUUUGACAAUACACCUGAAGGAAAAGGCGAUGAAAUACAGAAGCUGAGUGUUAUUCAAACAUUAUCAAAUUUAUUAGCUGAUGAUCAACAAUCAUGUAUUGCAAGAUUAAUCCCAAAAAUUCAGCAAACAUUACCAAAUGCAUCAGUAGACUUUCAUCUAUCAGCAUCAUCAACAUUCAAAACAAUAUUAAAUCAAAAACUUGUCAAUCAUUCGACAUUUACAUCAACAUUCCUUCAAAUAAUUUUGAGCUCAUUAGACAGCAAAGAACCAGUUAUUGCUCUUGCAUGGCUGGAGACCUUGCUGGAUGUUAUUGAAUUACUACCACCGGAUGUUCUACGUCGUGAGAUAUUACCACUUUCAAUAAAUAAAGGACACUUAUCACAAUCAGUUAGUUCAAGAAUAAUGAGCUCAAAAUUAAUUGGUAAAAUAUGCACGCGAUUUGACUCACAAUUAAUUAAAAAGGAAGUAUUACCAACAGUACAUUCAUUGUGUCAAGAUAUAAGUAAAGAUGUUAGAGCAGCAAUAUGUUCACAGCUGUGUUUUAUUGCUGAAAAACUUGGUGCUGAAUCAGUUAAAUCAACAUUAUUAUCAUCAAUUGUUGAAUUAGCAAGUGAUGAAGAAACAAAUGUUAGACAUGCUGCUAUACAAACAAUUGUUUAUCUUUUACCUCAUUUACAAAAUGAUGUUUUAAAAACAACAAUAUCACCAUUGAUUAAAAAAUGUUGUGAUAAUGCAUUUAAAUCAGAAGACAGAGUACUAUGUAUAAUAUCAAAAGAAUUUGGUAAAUUAUCAUUGGGUCUUGAUAAAUGUUUGAAUAAUAAAAAUGAUAAAUUAUGGAUAAUUAAUUAUUACAAACAAUUAUCACAGCUAGGAGUUGCACCAAAUAAAGAUAAUAUUAGACCAGAAUUUUUAUUAUCAAAUACAUUACAAUUACAAGAACUUUAUAUUGAAUGUCGUCAAAAUUGUGCAUAUAAUCUUCCAGCAAUGUUUUUAUUUGCUUCAAAAACAGAUGAUAAUAUUAAUUCAAUAAUACCAAUAUUAGAAAAUUUAAUAAAUGAUACAAAUGAAAAUAUUAGACGUAUUGUUGCUUGUGGUAUUUAUGAAAUAAUUAAAAUAACUGGUACAAAAAAUAAUAUCAUCAAAAAUAAUAUCCUAAAAUUAUUAAAAGAUGAUAAUGAAAAUGUAUUGUCUGGUAUUGUACCUUAUAUAUCAAAAAUAUUACAAUUAUAUUUUCCAACACAAACAAUACAAACAGUACAAGUUAUGGAUUUUGGAACAGCAUUAUUAAAAUGUGAAAAUUUAAUAUUUAAUACUAAAAAUUGGCGUUUAUCAACAAAUUUAUUUGAACAACUUGAAAUAUUACCAAAAUGUUUUCCAAGUGAUUAUAUUUAUUCAACAUUUAUUCCAAUGAUAUUUGAUAGAGCACUUAAUGCAAGACCAAUACCAAUUAAAUUAUCAGCUGGUAAAACUCUACUUGUUUUAAUACGUUAUAAUAUUAAACAACAACAAAUUACAGAAUUACAUGGUAAAUUAAUUACUGAAUUUGCCCAAAAUAAUAAUAGUUAUAUUAGAAUACAAUUUCUUCGUAUUGUUGAUAUAGCAACAAGUAUAUUUUCGACUUAUUAUAUAAAACAACAUUUUUUUACAAUUAUUAUGAAUUUAACUGAAGAUCCAAUUGCAAAUGUACGCUUAAAAGCUGUAACAUUAUUACCAAUGUUAAAAUUGUGUAUUCGUUUACCAACUGAUAAAAAAUUAUUACUAUCAUUUGAGGCAUGUGUAAGAAAUAUUAUGAAUAAUGAAACAGAUCGUGAUGUUAAAUUUACAUUAACAAAAAUUAUUCGUAAAAUUGAUGAAAUUGAAACAAUACAUGAAAGUCAAAUACCUUCUGUUAAACCAAAUAAACAAGAAAUUGAAAAUUUUAAAAAAUAUGAAGAAGAAAAAAAUCUACUAGCUGCAAUGAGUGGUAAAGUGAUUACUGUUGGUGUUCCAGCAAUUCCAGCUAUUCCAACUACAUCAAUAUCACCAAAAAAAAUAGCUCCAAAUGGAAGAACAAAUGAAGCAAGUAGUUCUAAAAGUACUAAGCCAAGUAUACAAGGAUUAGAAACAAGUUCCAAGAUUUCAUAUCCAACUGUACCAAAAAGCCGACAAGCAACAAUACCAGUAUUAUCAAGUGAAAAUUCAUCAAAAAUAUCUAAAGUAGGUGGAUCUAACAAAAGUUUUGACUCAGCUCAAGCUAGUUCGAUGCCUGAAAUACCAGUUAAUCUAUUUAAUGAUGAAUUUCCAAUAAAUACUGAUAUCAGAAUUCCAACACAAAUAUCAUCACCACGUAGAGCAUCUAAAAUUCCAAAUAUCAAUGAUGUACUAUCACGUAAUACACGAAUUGAAUAUGAUAAAAAUAAAAGAAGUAGUGUUAAUUUGGAUAAAAGUAAAUUUACAACAACUGGAAAAAUUAAUAGAUUAUCAAUGAAUCUUGAUGAACAAAGAUAUCGUACAAGAAGCUAUUCAGAUGAUUUAGGAUUUGCAAAAGAUGAUUUAAAAACAAAAAGAUUUAAUUUUCAACGUGGUAAAUCAACUGAGGGACCUCCAAAAUCAACUUUUUCUAUGACUCAAAAAGUCAGACAAACAACAAUGCCAAUAUUAUCAUCUGAAAGUUCAUCAAAAACAAGUACAAAACAGCCAGGAACAUCAAGAAAAUUUGACAUGUCCAAAGCUAGUUCGAUGCCUGAAAUACCAGUUGACAUGUACGCUAAUGAAUAUCCACAACAACUUAAAAUAAUUGAACAGCCUUCAAUUCAACAAAGAGCAUCUAAAAUUCCAAAUAUUAAUGAUGUUAUAUCACGAAAUAGCAGAGCUGAUACGGAUAAAAAUAAAAGAAUUAGUCUCAAUCUAGAAAGAGGAAAAACACUUGUUGGAAAAAAUAGAUUAUCAAUGAUACCUGGACAACGAACAACUAAAAUACCAAGUAUCAAGGAUAUGCUCUGUUGAAAUGAUUAAAUUCAUUAUGACAAUACAAUAUGUGAAUAGCAAUAUUAAUUUAUUUACGAUUUAUGGAAAAAAAAAAAGUGACAGAUAGUCUUCCAGUUAAACGAUUGGAUCGAUUCAAACAUACAUACCACAAGAAUUGAUCACAAUCAGGGCUUUAGUUAAAUUUCCCCAAGCAAUGAAACGGCUUCUAUAGAGAUAAAAGAGGAUUCAUUGGAAUUAUUGGGGCUUCGAGAUUUCAGGUAAAUUAAUACGACAGAUUAUUAUUAUAUUAUUAAGCAGAAGCCGUCAAGUAGGUUCUUAUUAUUGCGCCAAAAGCUACCUUAAUAGCAUUAGCAAAUCUAGCCUCCAGCAACAAAAUGGUUAAUAAUAUAUUUUUUAGAUUUGCAUAAGCUCCGAAUAUAUACUCUUCAAAUAAAUAUAAUACUUAUACGUAUUUAGGAGAAAUAAUUUUAUUUUUAUAAUUUUAUUAACGAGAAGUUUUUUUAACUUAAUUACAAAUUCAGUUUUAACUUUAUUUUAUUUUAUUUUUUUAAAUUUGAACGUUUUAAAUACAGGGUACAUUUACAUAGUGGCAUUUGAAAGAUAAAUUUACAAUUUUUAAAGUUUUAUUUCGAUAAAUGAAUUCACGGUAGAGGAAAUGAUUCAACUGAGAAAAAAGUUGAUUAAAUAAAAAAAAAAAACACAGUUUAUUCAAGAAAACCUAUAAUUUAAUAUUUAACGAAAUUUAAAUAUUAAUAGAAAACUGCGGUAAUAAUAUGCUACUUUGAAGAGAAAAAAAAAUAAAAUGUUGCUGGAGAUGAUUUGAAAAAUUUUAAGAGAAAAAUUAAUAUAGGCAAACAACGAAUACAAAAAACAAUAAAUAAAAAAAAGCAUCAGUAUUGAGUAGUGGUGUUCUAGUCUGUACAAUGUCAGAACAUUUAAUUAAUUAAUAACUAAUUUUUUUUUUCUUUUCUUUAUUUAAUUUAUCAUUAAAAAUAUAUUUAACAUUGUUAUAUUAUUUUAAAAUGAUUAUAUUAUAUAAUCAAAUACGGUUGUUUUUUUUUUUACAAUGUUAUUUUUAAAUAGUUAAAUAAUAAUAAUUAUCAUCACUUUUCGCCUUGUGAAAAAUAAUGCCGUACAAAUAAUUAAUAAUCAAGUCUUCUCGUUCUUGAUAUAUAUUUAAACUUUGAUGUAAAUUUCUUUAGCUUCUUUAAUGUGCACUAAAAAGUAUAUAUAUAUUUAUUUAUUAAUAUUGAUAUUAAAGAAGAAAGAAAAUCUAUAUUUUAUUGAAAGCUAAAUUUUUUAGAAAAUAACAAAUAAAUUUAUUUUAAAAUAAUAAAAUUAUUAGCAAACACCAAAAGUGGAGUUUUAAUAGAAAAAAAAAUAUAUAUAUAUAUUUUUAAUGCAUUAUAUUAAAAGUUAUUCAAUUUAUUUCCGAAUAAUUUUUGUAAAUGAAUCUAUUUAUCAAAUAUUCCACAAUUUUAUGAUAACAAAGAAAAAAAAAAACUCACCAUUUUUAUUAUUGUUAAAUAAAUAAAUUGCGUAGAGAAUUUUUUUAAAUUACAAAAUUAUUUACAAUGGGAAAAGUGCUUAAUACAGGUUGAUUGAAAAUGAAAUAUUUAUAAAAAAAAAAAAACUUACUAUUUAUUUUUAUAUAGAUCUAUCAAGUUUAAAGCUGAGCAAUUUGCCAGAAUAUUGAAAAAUAAUAUAAAUACAAUUAUUUUAUGAUAGAUUGCGUAUAUUAAAUUGUUAAUAUAAAAAAUAAAAUAUCAAAUCGGUUGACAUCUUGAUAAACAAUGAUACAAAAAAAGAUGGAUAAUAAUUAUAAUAAUAUAAAUAUUUAUUGCUUACCUUGAACUAUUUAUUGCAGUUCGCACAAUAUUUCACUAUUGUUCAUCAUAGAAAUUCUACUGUUGAAAAAAUAUAUCUGUGAUAACAAAAAUUAUGUGUCUAUAACCCAUUAUUUAAUUAUUAUUUAUUUUUUGGGUUUAAAAAAAAAUAAUUAUUAUCAUCAUAAUUUCAUUGUUUUAUUAAUUUUUAUUUUCUUCUACUUUUCUAUAUAAAGCAACAAAAAAAAAAAUUCUUAAUGACUAUAUUUUUGGAUUUUUUUUUUCGUUUCGUUUAUAAUAGUUAAUCUACUUAUGUUUUUAUCUUUUUAAUUGUCAUUUUAUGAUAAUUAAAAAAUCGUUAGAAUAUCAAUACAUUGUAUUUGUUUUUUUUUUUUUUUUUUAAUUUGAAAAUCGAUCGUAUUUUUCUUGUGCAUAUCUGUAAAAAUUAAAAAAUUUUAUUUAUAUAUUAUUUUUUUGUUAUUUAGAAUGUUUUUUUUUUUUUAUUUUAUUUUUUUGAUUAAAUAAAUUACAAUUGUUGUGGAUAUAUUAAAUAUCUAUCACCAAAAAUCGGGAUAAAUUUUAUUUGAGGAUUAAAAAUUUUCUUUUGUCUAAUUCUAAUAUAAAUAUAUGAGCAAAUGUCAAGAAGCGAUCGUGCAAAAAAAAGUUAUAAAUGAAUUAUAUGAAAUAUGUUUAUUUAUUUAUUUUUAUUUUUUGAUUAGGCUGACCAUAUAUUUUAUGAGAUUAUGUUCACACAAUCGCUUCUUGUAACAUGAUUCAUUUAUUUUUUUCAUUAUAUUUUUUUAGAAAUAGUAAACUGUGAUAUUUCAUACACAGCAUUUUUUAAAUAUUUCAUUCAUCUUUUUUCUUCGUUUUCUUAUUAUUUACUGGUGUUGUAUAUAUGUACAAUAAUCUGAUGAAAAUUAUUAUUAUUUUUU